ACAGGUGGGCACUCUUAACCUGCAGGCAGCAAGGGGGAAGUACUCCAUGUUGGAAAUACAAGUAAGCUGCACCACACAAGCAACAUUCCUGUGAGGAUACACUGCUGUGAGGCUGAGGUCCUCCGAUUUCCCUCUCUUGUUUGUUCUACAGGCAGACCUUAAGACUUCUGCCACACUAAAAAAAACAGCAAGCCACAAAAGUCUAGCUGGGAGGGUGUUACUGGUUGUCACCAUAGCAUAGACUGCCUCACCAACAGCAGUGACAGAGCCACCCAUGGUGACAUCAUAAACCUUCAGAAAGUCCUUGUAUACAGAAAAAACAAUGAGGGGGAGAAGACUGCUGACCUCUCACUCACAUCCAGAAUGAUCAAUCAUAAAAUCAAAGAUUGACUGUUAAAAUCCCUUUUAAGUGUGGGAUUUGGGAUUUGAUGUUAUGGUAAAUAGUCCUUACUGCAAAACCUAGGGAAGGAGAAAGAGAAGAAGAAAAUAGAAUUCCUUUUCAAGUUGUCCCGCAUAGGUAAGAAAAGAGUCAAUUUGUUCUCUGCCUUUCAAGGGGACAGGCUGUGGGA
rnacentral:lncRNA from 1 species